GUGCCAAACACCACUAAAUGAUUCUUAAAUGAAAAUCUAUAGUAGGUUGUUACCACUUAGCCAAGCAUCGCUUGACUGAAAAUAUUUAUUCCAGAUUUGAAAUCCUGUGCAAAUACUACUGUAUACUGUGUAUAAUUGCUUGCAUUGAAGACCUAUAUAAAGGCAAAACGAUGAAGCGUCUCCAACAAGAUGAUGACAAAAAUGAUGAAAAAAGAUCAACAACUCUUGACAGUGAUUCUAAAUGUGACGCCUUUGUAACUUGGUCAUCUAAAAAUAACUUCCAAAUGAAUGACAAGGUUUGUGUGAAGAGAGAAGGUUCAUGUGCACAGUAUGGUAUGAUGGCCACGAAAGACAUACAUGAAGGGGAAAUCCUCUUUCAGAUCCCUAGAUCUGCCUGAUCU